rnacentral:lncRNA from 12 species
GCCCUCUUUGUUAAAAAGGAGUCGCCUUGACGGUUUUGUGUUUUCCAUCUCAGAGGCAGGGCGGAAGGCAGGGAGCCACUCAAGGGUGCAGUCUUGCCCUGUCCUGCCCCCUCACAUGUGCCUACUCCCCCACCCCACCUCCGUGAUUCAGUUCUCUGAGCCGCUGAACUUCUCCUGAAUUCACAUCCUGCCAGUCCCUGCAUGCCUCUGCCUCCUCCCAGGGUCACUGCACCCACCACCACACCCCCCCAUUCUAGGCCUGUUCUGGGUGAGUGGGUCUGAGCAGAGGCAGGGGCUAGACCACAGAGGCCAAGGGCUUCUCCCAGGCCACCGGGGGGUCAGUGUCACCGGGCUCCCUCUGUGGCCUCACUGGGCAUACAUCAUCCCAUGCUCCUCCAGGCCCCGGGGGGCAUCUACACUACAGCAGCUCUCCAUUUGACUUGGGACUUCUAGCAAGUCACGCCCAAGGACUCUUGUCUCUCCAUCUGUGAAAUACAGUAACGAGAACCCCAUCAGGCCCCGAGGCUGCUGUAAGGUCUCUCGAAUGCACAGCCAGGCUCUGGGGGGCUUCCCUCCUGCUCAGCCCUGGGUGCUGGCUCCCUCACAGCUAUGGAUGAAGAGAAUGAGGCUCAGAGAUGUGAAGUCACUGCUGGUCCUGAGCCCCAACCUGGAGUCACACGCUGCCCGCCUUUCCUUCUCUAGGAAUCUGAAUCCCAGACUCCCAGAGGUAAGUGAACUUCAGGGUUAUAGUCUCCAUCCUUCUAUCCCAUACUUCAUUCUCUGUCCCCAGUAAUUUUUUAAAAAGAUUUAUUUAUUCAUGAGAGACACACACACACACAGAGAGGCAGAGACACAGGCAGGGGGAAGAAGCAGGCUCCAUGCAGGGAGCCCGAUGCGGGACUUGAUCCCAGGAUCCCAGGAUUAUGCCCUGAGCCCAAGGCAGACGCUCAACCACUGAACCACCCAGGCAUCCCAUCCUCAGUAAUUAAACCUCUGCUUGCACACUUCUCGUAUCAGGGAACUCACUGCUCUGUGGUUUGGAGGAAAUUCUGAUUGUGGAAGUGAUCCUCAUCCACAGAGCUGAUACUUGCCUCCCCCAGUCACAGCUCUGCUUUCUGGGGCCACACAGUGCCAGGUGGCCUCUCACUUGGGAAUUUCUAAGCGGAUCCAAAGUCCAACCCAGUGCUUAGGGGGCUCCUCUACUCUGUCCCCCAGUCCUCUACAGAGAUAACAUCCUGGUUCUGCUAAUCCACUCAUAGUUCUCUUAUUUGGGGUCCCUGGCUCUUUGGAGCUACAGGACUAGGGGGACCCAAGACCCCUGAGAACUGUAACUUGCCCCAAUUGUGACCUUCCCUUGGAUCUUGUCCUCAUUUUUUUUUAUUUU